rnacentral:rRNA from 1 species
UACGAAGGGGGCUAGCGUUGCUCGGAAUCACUGGGCGUAAAGGGUGCGUAGGCGGGUCUUAAGUCAGGGGUGAAAUCCUGGAGCUCAACUCCAGAACUGCCUUUGAUACUGGAAGCUUGAGUUCGGGAGAGGUGAGUGGAACUGCGAGUGUAGAGGUGAAAUUCGUAGAUAUUCGCAAGAACACCAGUGGCGAAGGCGGCUCACUGGCCCGGAACUGACGCUGAGGUGCGAAAGCGUGGGGAGCAACAGG